GUGCCAGCAGCGGCGGUAAUACGGAGGGUGCAAGCGUUAAUCGGAAUUACUGGGCGUAAAGCGCACGCAGGCGGUCUGUUAAGUCGGAUGUGAAAUCCCCGGGCUCAACCUGGGAACUGCAUUCGAAACUGGCAGGCUAGAGUCUUGUAGAGGGGGGUAGAAUUCCAGGUGUAGCGGUGAAAUGCGUAGAGAUCUGGAGGAAUACCGGUGGCGAAGGCGGCCCCCUGGACAAAGACUGACGCUCAGGUGCGAAAGCGUGGGGAGCAAACAGGAUUAGAUACCCUGGUAGUCCACGCCGUAAACGAUGUCGAUUUGGAGGUUGUGCCCUUGAGGCUGGCUUCCGGAGCUAACGCGUUAAAUCGACCGCCUGGGGAGUACGGCCGCAAGGUUAAAACUCAAAUGAAUUGACGGGGGCCCGCACAAGCGGUGGAGCAUGUGGUUUAAUCGAUGCAACGCGAAGAACCUUACCUGGUCUUGACAUCCACAGAACUUUCCAGAGAUGGAUUGGUGCC
rnacentral:rRNA from 1 species